rnacentral:lncRNA from 1 species
UUUGUUUUCUUUCUUGCUCUCAAGUUGCCAUCAUGCUAAAUCUGUCAACCUGUUAGCAGCAUGUUCCUUUUUUGCAAGUAUCAUAGUUGUUACUCCAUGCAUCAUAUGAACUUGUGCCCAUGGAUUAAGUUGAAGUAUAUCAUCUCUACUACACACCCAUGUCUUUUGCAUAAUUAUUAAAGUUAAUGUGCUUGAUGUUAUGUGCCUUGAAAGUCAGCAUCAUAAUGUUAUUGUUUUGCAUUCCCAGAUUUCCUAGUCUGAGAAUCAGCUUAUAUCAUGUUGUAUCUUGUCUUGUUGAUUUCCAUUGAUCUAUGGCUCAUAUAGAGAUGCUUAGUGAUCAUGUUUUGCUAUGUUUAACCUGUAUUUUAAUGCCAUGAUUUUGUUUUCCAUGAUCUUGCACUAUAUCAUCAUUGUUUCAUGCCGCCAACAUGUCAGCAUGUUAUUUCUGCUUACAUGUGUGCCAUGUUUUCACAAAGUCCUAAUCUUCAUUAUUAAGUUGCUUUUUGCAUUGAUCAUCUUGAAUUAAUCUUGAUGCCUAUGAACCUAAACCUUAAUGUUAUUGGAAGCAUGUUCUCUGUACUUGAAGUGCAUGUCAAGUUUGUUCCCAUGUGAUUCCUGUAGCAUGUAGUUUCCUUGAUUGCAAAGUGCUUAGUUGUUGUUUUGGGCAGAUUGUGUGUGAAACUUGUAUUGACUGUAUGUGUUGAACCGUUGCUCCGUUUUGAGCAUGCUCAAUAUGAAACUUGCUUCGAUUUGCAUGUAGUUUCAUGUUACCUUGUUGCAUCCAUGUUUUGAGGUGUUUGUGAUUGUGUUUUGCUUGCAUUUGCAUCAAUCCCAUGUUUAACUUGUUUUGCUCAUAUCUUCUAGGCCGUAGCUCUGAAUUAAACGAACUUUAUAUGUAACUUUACUAGAAAACCGUGUAGAUCAUCUUGGUGCACUUUAACUUGAUGUUUAACAAAUUCAACAUUGUGUUUUAAUCAGAUCUGGACCAAUUUCGAAAUUUGCAUAUGAGGACUUACCGAUAUUAUUACAUUUUUUUCCGGACUCAUUUAAACUUGUUUGACGUGUUGUUCUUGUAUGCAUCAUCUCCUGCCAUGAGUAGCAUCAUGUAGCCUUGUCAUACAUCAUUUGUGGUUGAGAAUCAUGUCGCGUUUAUGUUUUAUGUGUUUACCAUGGUGUUUCCUUCUUUCCGGUUGUGCUUCUUCUCGAUAAUUCGGGUUUCGUUGCGAUUGUGAGGAUUCGUUCGACUACGUGGCUUCGUCUUCUUCAUGGAAUCAUUCUUCUUCAUAGCGGGAUUUCAGGUAAGAUGACCAUCACCUUGGAUCUCACUACUAUCUUUGCUAUGCUAGUUGUCUCGAUACUAUCGCUAUGUCGUGCUACCUACCACUUGUUUAUCAAGGCUCCCAAAUUGCCAUGAUAGCCUCUAACCUUUUUACCCUUCCUAGCAAACCGUUGUUUGGCUAUGUUACCGCUUUGCUCAGCCCCUCUUAUAGCAUUGCUAGUUGCAGGUACAGUUGCAGGUUGUUCCAUGUUGGAACAUGGAUAUCAUGGGAUAUCACAAUAUCUAUUGUUUAACUAAUGAACCUAUAUACUUGGUAAAGGGUGGAAGGCUCGGCCUUAUGCCUGGUGUUUUAAUCCACUCUUGCCGCCCUAGUUUCCCUCAUAUCGGUGUUAUGUUCCUUGAUUUGGCGUCCCUAACACGGUGAGGGUUUAUGGGCCCCUCUUGAUAAUUCGCUUUGAAUAAAACUCUUCCAGCAAGGACCAACAUUGGUUUUAAUAUUUGCCAUAAUAAUACUUGAACCUAAUAAUUAAUUGGCAUAGGGCGUCAUGAAGCCGAGGAUUUUCUACAUAGCAGGGGGGCCAGUGCUAAUGGUGUUAGUCCCAAACUACAACACAGUGCGGGACCGCCCCUAGGAGAUAUGAUGCUACUUUUGAAGUUGUUAAACAUGGGAUCCUUGGUCAUGUACGCUUUGCUUAUCUGGACGUGGCCUGAGACGACAUAAGCGCGGCUACUAUCAGGGUGUCAGCAUGCCUGGAGGUCUUGCUGGAUUAGUUUUACCAUUGUCGAAAUGUCUUGUGCACCGGGAUCCUGCGAUGGAGGAUUGUCUCCGUGGAUCAUGAGCUUGUCAUGGGCUAAGUUGGGACACCCCAACAGGGUUUUAAACUUUCGAGAGCAAUGCCUGCGGUUAUGUGGCACAUGAGAAUUUGUUAAUAUCCGGUUGUGGAGGACUUGAAGUAAACUCAAUUAAAAUACACCAACCACGUGCAUAACCGUGACUAUCUCUUUCAGGUGCAUUCGAGAAGAGAACACGGUUGGGUUAUGUUUGAACGUAAGUAGUUUAGGAUCACUUCUUGAUCAUUACUAGUUGGCGACCGUUUGCGUAGUUUCUCAUCUUACUCUUUUACUCGUUAGUCAGCCACCAUGUAUUUCUUAGUCGCUGCUGCAACCUCACCACUUACCCUUUCCUACCCAUUAAGCUUUGCUUGUCUUGAUACCCAUGUUAAUGGGACUCCUGAGUCCUCGUCGCUCAUACAUUACUACAACAAUAGUUGUAGGUACAGGUAAUCCGAUGAUCUGACAUGAGAGCGACGUUUGCUUAUUUUGGAUUUCUUCUUCUUCUUCUUCGAUUUUGGGUUAGCUUCCUGGUCGGCAGCCUGGGCUAGCAGGGUGGAUGUCGUUGAGUUUUUGUUUGUGUUUCAUCCGUAGUCGGAUGUUGUUCUAUGUAUGAUGUAUUGAUGUAUUCUUGUGGCAUUGUAUGCCUUUUGUAUGUAUCCCUACUAUUAUGUAAUGGUACGAUGUAAUGAUAUCCACCUUGCAAAAGCGUGUCAAUAUGCGGUUCUGUCCUUGGUGGGUCCUUUGAGUUCCUUUAGGAUAGAGUCGCAUAUUGGGUGUUACAAGUUGGUAUCAUUGCCUCACCAACCAUAGGAGCCCCAUUGUUUGAUCGUAUAGUUUAAAAAAUUUCGGAGUAUAGUGAUAUCGGUGAGUAGGAAUUCUUUUUACUCCUCCAUCCCUUCGUCACUCUGGUGAGAAAUCUUGAUGCUGGUGUUUUGAUAUACUCCUCUUCCCCUUCAAUUUUUUUAGGAUCACGCAGUUAGUUUUCGUUCAUUGUGAUGUCAUCUCUUUUCAACCGACGCACUUCUCUUGCAGUCAUUCUACCAUCAUUGUCUUUUGUGAGGUUAAUCCUCAGUUCUUUCUCAACUACGUUGUUCCCACAUGCGAAGUUCUCUUUUCUUUUCCCACCCACCCGCACUUUUUCUUCUUGGAGCCGGAGUCCUUAAUCGAGUAUCCAUCCUAUUCGUGUGAAGCAUUUGCAUACUUUUCCUCAAUUAUUUCAACCGGUGUUUUCUAUUCAAGUUAUUCGUCGGUUACCAGUUCCAAGUUGCCUAUGUUUUUCCCGCCCUCCCAUCGCUUUUCUUCCUGAAAUCCGAGCCUCUAUUUAAGCAUCAAUUUCAGUCAUGCGGAACCUCUUCAGUCACUCCUCAAUUGUCUCAACUGGUGAAUUCUCUUCUAGCUCAUCAUUGUUCAUCUCGUUUUAUUUAUGAUGGGUCUAAUUCAAGUUUUCGUUGUUGAUCAUAUUCCUUUCCUUGACUAAAAUGGUUUCCAUUGCUCGUUCACCUAUCGCCAGUUUAUCCUUCCGGAGAGCACAAGACAUCUUAGAAGAUCCGUGUUUGUAUUCAAUUAAUUCGAGGUUGUCACCUCAUUCGAGUCUUUCAAUCGUUUCGGUGCAUCAUUUCUCAUUCAACAAUCCUUUCCAACGGUGCUUCUUUUCAGUGUGCCCUAACCCACAUGUCUAUUCCUAGGAUCUUACCUGACUCUUCUAAUUUUCCUGGAGUUAUUCUCAAAUUCUUUUCGAAGUUUGAUGUAUGAAUUUUCAUCAGUCAAGUGUCCUCUCCAAGAUUGUUUUCAAAUUAGUUUCAUUGUUGAUUCAACCUCUUCUCUCUUCAUUCUCCCGUAGUAUCUCAACAAAUUUGGGUGGUGUUCGUCAUCAUCAUUCUCAACAUUUUAAGACCGAAGAAGAGUUUUCGUAUAAAUCUUGACCGUUCUCUUGAAGAUUUGUGGAGCUAGCUUGAUGUUAUCCUCUCAAAUUGCUACAAAUCGUGCGAUUCUUUCCUUACCCAUCUGAAGUAUUUCAGGAGUAGUUUUCCAUUUCGAUCAUCCGGAGGCCAUCAUUUCAGAAUAUUUCUUUGUUCCAAGUUUUCAGCACCGUUCGUUACCAUAUUUGUAUCGGUGCUUCGUUCAAGCAUUCUUUAAUCAGUUCAUGAUCUCUUCGUUCUCCUGCAUCUUGAUUCACUCAAGUAUCUUUGUUUGUUUUCUAAUUCUUUCCGACGAUUCAUUCUCUUCUCUUCGUUCAUUUUCAUUGCCACGGUGGCUCAUUUAAGAGUUUCACUUUUGUUCUUAUCAUAUCAAUUCAUUCAUUCUUUCCAAUCCUAAAUGUGGUUUAAGAAGACCUUCCCAUGUUUUGUGCUAUAUCUCCCCUUAAUCUUUUCCAACGCGAGUAAGUUGUAUGCAAUCCAUUGCUGCUCAUCGAUUUAAUUGGUGGAGGAUAAGCAUAACAUAAUUCUUAUUCUUCUUUCUUCAAGUUGAGUUAUCUCUUCUUUUCGGAGAUUGUUCAUGAUGAAUAAUUUCUUGGUUAUAAGUUAUUCAUCUUUUCUUUUCCGGAGUUCCAAGUUUUCUCGCAUGUCUCGUCACGAAGCUCAAUCUAAAUCAUUGUAAGGCUUCAUCUUGUUCUUUUCAACCUUCGAUUCUUUCAUCCUUUUGUUACGGGAGUUCUUCACGGUGGUUCAUUAAAGAUUUAAUUCAUUCUUCAAGUCUUCAUCAAGAUUCUUUUUGGAGGAGCGCAGGUAUAUUUUCUUCUUGCGUCUCAAUGUGCAAUUAAUUAUCCGUAUGCUUUUGAAGUGGAGUUUUGCAUUCCACCAUUCUUCUCAGCUAUUCAAUCAUUCCCGUUUGUGGCUGGUUAUCACCUCAUAAUUUUGAGAUGUUUUCCAUAAGCCCACGAAAAUCAAUUAUGUUGUUGUUGAUUUCCAACAACUCCGUUCAAUCCUUCCCUCUAAGACUGCUUUCGAACUCAUUUUUGGUAGAAGAUGUCAUUUUCUUCUUCGUUCUUUUCAUUCAACUUUUUUAGACUCUUCUAGAGGCAUUGUGUUGUUCAUCAAGUCAAGUACCGCUGCAUCUUGUGAGCAUGUUACUUUGUUUCCAUGUUCAGCCCGAGUAGUUUCAUAGUAUAUCUUGUUCCUUGAGCCUUUGAUUCUCGUCCUAACACCAUUCUUCUCUUCUACCCGAGUGCUCUCAGUCUUGUUCACCUUCUCUUUUGCGCUCUUAUUCCUCCUUGUCAUCUUUCGCUUCCAUCUCGUUCCUAAGAUCUCGGGACGAGAUCUCUUGUUAGUGGAGGAGAGUUGUAAUGCCCCAAGUCCGUUGCGCCAGGUGUCUUCCAGUCAUUCCCCAUCAUUGCCAUGUCAUUUGCUUACAGGUUCCACUUUGCCAUGUCAUCAUGUGCAUCUCAUUUGCAUUCAUGUUCGUCUUGCAUCCGGUCACUUUCUUCGUUGUCCAUUUCAGAAUCAAACACUCUCACAUGCACCCGUUGCACCUCUCAGAUCUUGUUUCAUGAGCAGGAGAAAAAAAUUCUCGGAAUGGGCCGAAAUUUUUUGAGUGGUCUUGGUAUAUCACCGGUAGACCGCCAGUCAAAUUUCAUUCCAUUUGGAGGUCGUUUGAUGCCCCAACGAUUAACCGCGUUGAUCGAAACCCUCCUUCUCUAUAUAGACCAGCACCCCUUCACAAUAGCCCACUAGCCCAUCUAAACUCCCUCCAUGCUCUCCGUCAUUGGAUCAUGAUCGUGUGGGCGAAUACCACACCUCAUUUGGCCUCUCCUAGCUCCCUCUACGUAUAUAAACACCCUCACCCCCGAAACUUCGGGCAAACCCUAGCUUUGUUCCUCCUCCCGCCGUCGGACAUGUCCAUCCCGCACCGGACGUGUCCACCACCGCCCUCCAGCCACGUCGCUCGGCCAAUCCCGGGGCGACACGUCUCCUCCACCGCACCGGCCCGUUGCAGCCCAUCACAGGCCCUCCCGGCCCGAACACCGCCGCCCCUCUGCUCCCGAUCCGCCCUCUCCCUCCGGCCGCCCGCCACCUCGUCUCCGCCGCCUGCUCUCCGCCCGAGUCGCCGCCGCCCGACUUCGGUGACUGGAGCUCACCGGAGCGUGCCGCUUCGCCUCCGUACUGCCGCCUGCUCUCUACCGCUGUGCCGCCUCUCCCCGCCGCCCGCCGAGUGCCGUCACCUCGCUCUGGCCGGUCCUUCACCGGUGCACCUUCGCCGCACUGUCCCGCCCUGCCUGCUACGCUUGUCGGUGUUCUGGGAACAGGGGUCCCUUGACUUGCCUGCCUGCGGACCACAGCGUGGCUCAGCGUGCGGGCCCGUAUGGCCCAUCUUCACCAGCAAAGACUCAAGACCCUCGUGAGGGGCCAUGCCUCGCGAGGCGGACGACACAAGACCUCCUCAGGAGCGGCCUCACUAGGCUGCCUGGCGAGGGGUGGAGAGAUCAAGUCCAGGCAAACCUCGCAAGGUUUCGGUGAUGUGAGCCAUGACGACCAAGGCCAGGCAGGCGCCAGCGUGCACAGUUUUCUUGUUUCCUCUUUGGUGCUAAGGAAGCAGGCGCAUGCGCAAGCGCAGAGUACCGAGGCGUCAAGAAAAGGUUCCCAUAUCGGUGCAACGAGACCAAGACCAGCAGGAUGAGAAGACGGAGGUCACCAUGGAGCCCAAGACGGCGUCACCACCAGAGCCUUUUGCAGGCGAAGACUGCUUUUGUCAGGAUAAGUUGUACUAGCUGUCCCCUUACGAACUGGCUGUUGUUAGCUCCCUUCCCGCUCAAUAUUUGGGGAGAGGACCAGGGCCUCUAUAAAUAGGACUAGCCACCACCAUAGCUAGAGAGAGGGAUGGAGGGGACGGAUCGAGAGUAACCAGAACCACCACAAGUUCACCGAGCACAAGAACACCUCUCCUCAGGAGGCUGUUCUUCCCCUCGUAUUGUUCAUCCUCAGCUCAAGAGGCAAUCCACCACACCACACUGGAGUAGGGUAUUACACCACAACGGUGGCCUGAACCAGUAUAAAUCUUGUGUCCUUUGUGUUGCGGGUUCGUCGAGUUAGCCCGUAAGAUCUUAGCAAAGCUAGGACGUGGAUCGGUAGGGGGUGAUCUUCAUGUGCAUCCAGAGUUUGAACCUUGAGGGUUUUGCCGGAACCCGUGAUCCGACAUUUGGCGCGCCAUGUGGGUGCGCCGAAGCUUGCCUUCCAUCGCUCCAUGUCUCAUUGCUCCAUCGUCUCCAUGGCGGAUGCUCGUCGCACUCGCGCUGAGCGCCAGGCUGCCCUCGCCGCCCGCAUGGCUCAGACGACCCCCGUCGGCGGGCCACCCCGUCGUUCCCUGUCGCCUGACGCCAACGCCGCCACCGGCCCGGCGGGGAGUGAGUAGCAAGCAUCCUCGCUGCACCCCUCGGUGCGGUGGGACGGCCGCACCGCCACUGUAUAGCUGACCCCGGUCGGCUCGUCAACCCACGCUCGUCGCGCCCCAUUGGACGCGCAAGCCGCUCUGUGCAUGGCGUGUGAGCUCUUGCGCUACCGCCCAAUCGACGACCUCUAUGAGGACUGGCUCGACCGCAUUGCCGACCUUGUCAGUGCUGCAGGGGGCUCCCCUAUGCCAUCCCUCUCGCCGCCUCGCCCUCCGCUAGCCGCGGGCAGCUUGGCCCAUGGAGUCUUGGCGCCCAGGCGUGCGGCCCCACGGCGCGACCUACCGUGUCUGGCGCCCGCGCAAGAAGAAACAUGCUGCCAAGAAGUCCCUUGACCGCGAGAAAACGCCCCCGCGCUCCUUGCGCCACCACGGCAAGACCGCGUGCCACCUAUGGCGGCGGUGCGCGGACCUCAUCAAGGACAAGUUCUCCACCAGUGCAGAGUCCCGGUGACCACGGCAGGCUGCCACACCUUGGCCGGGCAAGUUCAAGUCAGAUCUGCCUCCUUGCUAUGAAGGUACCCCCUACCCCGCGAAGUUCCUACAGCUCUACCAGCUGAGCAUCAAGGCGGCCAACGGCGACGAGAAAGUCAUGGGGAACUGGUUCCCAUGGCUCUCAAGGAUGGUGCCCGCUCCUGGCUCCUGAAUCUCCUGAAUCUGCCUCUAGGCUCGAUCUCCUCCUGGGACGAGAUGCGCGACCGUUUCGUCGCCAACUUCCAGGGCACUCGCGACCGCCCACCGGCUGCGGGUGACCUACGCCGCGUUAAGAAACAACUAGGAGAGACCCUCCAGAAGUAUAUCUAGCACUUCAACAACGUUCGUCUCAAGAUCCCCAAGGUGAUGGACGAGGCCAUCAUCUCCGCGUUCUCCGAUCGCAUCCGUGACAUCAAGAUGAAGGAGGAGCUCGCCAUCCACGAGGAGUUGUGCAUGUCUCUGGAGCUGUUCAACCUGGCGACCAAGUGUGCAAGAGCUGAGGAGGGGCGCCUCUCCCUCCUCGAGCUCCCGACUGCGGACCCAGAGGAGAAGAAAGCCAAGGCCAAAGACGUGAAGUGCAAGGGAGCAGCCGUGCUCGCGACGGAGCCGGACACGAAGCGUGGCAGGGACCAGCGCGAGUCAUCCAAGAGCAGCCGACCGUCCUGCGCCUUCCAUAACCUGCAUAGCCACAACACCAGCAACUGUAAAGAGCUCAGAGCCAUCCGAGAAGGACGCUUCGGUCGAUGCCCUGAGCGCAACAACCGGGGCUAUGGCUGAGGAGGAGGACGUGGUGGUGGACACUGGGAUGACUGUGGCCCGCGCCAGGAGUGGCGCGACCGGCAUCGUGAGGACCACUGGCAGGAUCAGCCUCGCCAGGGCGCCUGGAGGGAUCAGCCUCGUGAGGAUCAUCCUUAGGGCAAUGCCGGUCUCCCUCCACUGAUGCCACCACCAAGAAGGAACGACGACCACCACCAAGACGAGGGGGCUGGGGGCUUCCAGGAACCGUGUGCUAUCGCCUGCGUCUUGGCAGAGCUCAAGCCCCAGCCUCACAGCGCAUCUUCUAGUAGUUUGCUCGUCAGGUGAACGCAGUCCUCCCCAAGCUCGAGGCCAAGCGCCCACUCAGAUGGUCCCAGUGCGCCAUCAUGUUCAUCUCGACAGACUAGCUCAAGUGCGCGGCUACCGGUGGUGUCCUCCCGAUGCUUUGUUCACCCGUCAUCAGCAACAUGCAAGUCACCAAGACCCUCAUCGACGGUGGCGCAAGGCUCAAUGUCCUGUCCAUCGAGACGUUCGACAACCUGCAAGUGUCAUAUGCUCAGCUUCAGCCCACCAAGCCUUUCUCAGGAGUGACUGACGGCUCCACCACACGAUCGAUUAGGUCCGCCUCCCGGUCACCUUCAGAGAACGCAACAACUACCACACUGAGAUCAUCAACUUCGAUGUCGCCCACAUCCGUCUGCCAUACAAUGCCAUCCUCGGGUAUCCAGCCCUGGCCAAGUUCAUGGCCAUGAUGCAUCACGGCUACAACAUCCUCAAGAUGCCAGGAAGCGGCGGGAUCAGCAUAGUCGCCUGCAAAGAAAGAGAUGCGGUGUGCUCCCUCGAGCGUGCCUUCCAAGCAGGGUCAAUCGAAGACCCCGGCAACAAUGCAGGUCGGUACCCUCUUGAGGUUGUCGCCAAGAAUAAGAAGCAGCAACUCCGUGCCGGACCACAGGAGGGCAGCGCUGCAAGUGGCACCUCGUAAGGAUCAGCGCCAGCACCUGGGGAUUCUCCCUCUAUCUCAUAGGAAGGCGCGCCCAGCGCCCUCCUCGGGCAGGGCUCGGGGGAUCUCUUCUGGAGGGCCUCAGACCUUGCCAACGUCACGAGGGAGGCGCUCGGGCACCACUUGGAGGCGUGUUUCGCGGCACGUCUCCUUCAGGAGGACACCAGGCAAGGAGCGCUCGGCGCUCAGGAGUUCAUCACCAAGGUUUCUCAGGAGCUUCAGGAAGCAAGAGCAAUACGAGGUGACCCCCGCCCACCUGGCACUGCUCCGCAACCCAGGCGAGGGUGGUGAGCUGCGCGUCUGCAUCGACAUCCCAGGGCUCAAUCGAGCCACAUCUCAGGAGCGCUUCUGGCUUUCGUGUGUUGGGCGCUCCGAAGGUCCACCUCACAGCUACGUUCACAUGCCGUUCGCCCUGCCGAGCGUGGCUGCUACCUUCCAGCAAAACCUGCGGAGCGUCAUGGCGGGUUAGGAGGCCAGGCACCACGCAGUCCUGGCGGAGAUGGCGAUGGUCCUCAAGGAACCGCCUGGACCCCCAGAGCCUCCCGAGGCUCAGGGCCCUGGUGGCUCAUGAGGGGCAACCCCUUCGCCGCAUACCUUCAGUUGCCUCAACACACCUUCAUCAAAGGAACCAGGUGACAUUUUCCAAGUUCUUUUAGCUGGGAGCGCCCCCAGGGCUGCAUUAUUCCCAGGCCGCGUGGGUCCGUCCCUAUGGCAUGUAUCCUUCCUUGUUUAUGUCUUUAGCUUACCUUGCUGGGGGCACCCCUCGGGCUGCAUCAUCCCCAAGCCGCUCGGGCCGGACCCAGUGGCGCGUAUCGUUUAUGCAUUUACCUGAGCUAGGUUGCCUUUCAUGCUUAAUCUAUCUAUGACUAUCACCUACUUGAUUGUCUUCCAUCGUGGGAGCCGCACACCGGUCAUCUUUCUUCAGGACCUUUCGCGUGAGAGGGUUAGGCUUGGCAUCUGUGCUCGGGCCCGUCCCUGCAGCGUCAAUAAAUCCAACGGCUGAGCUCUGUUUGGCGGGCCGGCCCCAUUCACAUCACCUCCUGGGGCCGUUGGUGCUUGGCUUUCUCACGCAAUAACCUCAAGAGAUUCGUUUGGUGCAGGUUGUCUGACCACCUCGCAGGACCAAGACAGCGAACAAUAAUCAAGACCAGGUGCAACCCGCUUUGAGGUAGGGCCUCGUGAGUCCUGAGCUGGCUCACAAGUGCCCAGACACACCUCGUCCAGCCUGCCUUGCAAGCCACGUGUCAGGGCGAGGCUGUACAUGCCCCGGGGGCUCUCCGCAGUAGGGAGUCCCCUCCCACGUACCAGUGGUGCACCAUGCUCUGCGCUGGUAGUUGUCACUAUUGAGGAGCGGCUAUGCCCGUGCAAGUGCGGAAGCGCCAUGGUCCGUCUUGGUGAUAAACAACUGAGGGUGGCCUCACGGCUGUAUCAACCUCAGGGAGCCUCCGGGCUCGGUGUCUGGCCUCAACGAAAUGCUUCCCCUCGGGAGAGCCGUGCGAGGGGGCUGGGCACAUGCGCUACGCUCGGGUGACGCCCAAGCAUACGCCACCCCCAGGUCCCUCGGACCUGGUCGUCGCGCGCUCUCCCAAGCGGAGUUAAGGUAUGAUGGUCGUUUGAACAUCAUGGGGGACUCCUGAGCAUCGCGACUCAGGAGCCUAACUGGUCACAUAGCCCCUCAAUCCUUGGGUCCGUCCUGGUCUUCGGUCGGUCCAACGACGGUUGAGGUAUGCGCAGGGCCGGGCUCUGCCGACGUAGAACAUAAAGAAAAUAGGAAGAAAAUCGCAAAAUCUCAAAGCAAAUAUUACAAGACAUAGUGUUCUCCGAAUACCAAACACAAGUUUAAACGCCGAUGUGAGGUAUGCUACAUGCGGUAGGAGUUUCAAAAGGAAAGGAGCCGCAAGCCAGUCAUCCCUCGACACCGUCGGCACCUGCAAGUGGUGCCCCCUCCCGGGUGGCGUCGUCUUCACCUGCACCACCGGUCGAAGGCGUGGGGGCGAAGGCGUCGAACUUCUCCAGCAGGGCUUCCACCUGACCCUUCACGGCUGUGGCGGCAGCCACACAACGCUCCUCGUCCACAUGCUCUAGCAGCUCGUCAAGGCGGGCAGCACGAUCGCGAAGAUGGAGGUGGCUAAAGACACGCGUCAGCACGGCUGAAGAAAGGACGCGAGCCUCUGCCUCUGCCAUGGGGCCAAUGCCAUGCACAACUUCCUCAAGUGCAUCGACCAAGUAGGAAAGCAAGUGGGCGGGGCCAUCCUCAUUGGUGGCCAACGGCUUCUCCAAGCCCUUCUCAUACAGUGACUUCAGGGCCUCGCGAGACAUCUUCUCCAGUAGCGUGAAAGUCGCGCGGUCCUCAGCCAGAACCUUCGCCUUGGCAUUAAGAUCGACCCCCUUCUCCUCCACCUUCCGCUCCAGCUCCUCCAGCUGGCUGCAUUCCAUGGCCUGCUCCUUUGCCAACUCCCCCAGCUUGGCGUCGCGGUUCUUGAUGGCAUCCUCCUGGGCCUUCAUCUCCUCCUCCUUCGCCCGAUGGCCGCGAGCUUCUUCUGCGCGCUCAUCGUGCAGACUCUUCAGCUCGUCCUCAAGCGCCUAGCAGCGGUUGUGGGCGGCUCCGACGUCUUUCAGCGCCGCCAUGCGAUCGGCCACAGCUUGAGCGACGGCCCGCUUCUCCUUCUCGGAGGUUGUCGUGGCCUGGCUAAGCGCCGCUCGGACUGCUGCGUCAGACUGAAGCCAGCCGAAGGCCAGCUCCAGGCGCCCGGCUACCAGGCGCGGAUACGCGCCCAUGAGAUAUUCCCGUAGCAGAGUCAUCUCUGAAAGGGCAUGCUCCAAGACAGUAGAGGAGGCGGAAGAACCUGGGAGUAAUGGCGCAGAAGGAGGAAGAGGCGUCGUCAUCACUAGGGCAUGAGAGGUAGGAGGCUCCUGAGCCUCUUGGACCUCACCCGAGCCGGAUGCUAGCACCUCCUGAGUCUGCGGUGCUUCGGGGGCUGACUCCUCCCAAGGAUGCUCCACCCAGCCUCGUGGGGAUGAUCGGGAUGGAGAAGCAUGAGCACCCUCCCCAUCUUUGCUCAAGGAGAGGGGCGCGGUCGCAGGAGUCACCCCGGAGUUAAGCAGCACCACCUCGCUCUCCCUCCUCCUCUUCACCACAAGCCUCAGCCUGGUUGCACAAUAAGGAAAAGAGUUGGAAACAAACACCAACAGAAAAAACAAGGACGAACGUCAAGUGGCAGCAGUAUAAGCAAGAUCAAGAUGAAGCUCAAGCACUUACUGGUCCACAGCAACGUAGUCCACCCUCCACUUUCUAAGCUUGAAGCCAGAGAGUUUUGCAAACCGAGGCGCGGGCCCGCCAGCUCUAGAAGUAGAAGCAGGAGCAGCGGUUGGGCGGAAAGCGGCUCCAGGCGGUGUCGGAAUAGAAGCGGCGUCCCGGGAGGUCAACACCGAUCGGUCCCUCGUCGGGAUGACGGGCGGCUCUCCCCUAUCCAGGCGGUCGCCGGCCUUGUCGUCGUCUGGAAAGGCACGAAGGAUGUCAGCUUUACUGAAGGGGGAGGUCUCCCCCGUCCCUUCGGGGGUCACCUACGAGUCUUCCUCCUCCUCUUCUUCCUCCACGCGGGACUCACCAGAAGACAGCUCCACCGGCGUUGGCGCCGCAGGGCCCCCGGUGAGCACCGACGGCACCAGUCCGCGCCCGUCAAAGGUCGGCCUGGAGGCCACGAGCAGCGCCCCGUCCUUGUGACGGAACAAGGGAGUGAAUACAUUCGGUAGAUACUCCUGGUCGUCCCCAACCAGGAGGCGAAGAGCUGCGACCAGCUCCUCGCCGGACAAGGCCUUCGAGCUCAAGGGAACCUUGUCCUCUUCGUCCCAAAGCUCCCACAAGGGGCACAUGCAGGCUUGAAGCGGGGCCAUGCACAGCGCCAGGAAUUCCCUCCGGAGCAUGGCCCAUGUAAUCUUCGCCGCCUUCGCGUUGCCCGGCUUCAGGUCGGACUUCAUCUGCUCGAGCACCAACGUCACCCGCUUGUCGGUGAGCUUCGCGCAGGACCACCCCUUGUCGGACUGGAGCAUCUCCAUCGGCAGCGUCAAGCGUGGGUGGAUGCAUUUAGCAUCCAUCAUGGCCCACUUGCUCAGGAAGCCAUCGGCUUUCUUCCCCGUCUUCGAGAUCGAGUUGUCCUUGCCGGCCAUGAUGAAAUUGAUACACCCAGAGGCGUGACCCUCCUUGGAAUGAAGGAAGAAUAAGUGGCGCAGAAGGGCCACAAACAGCAUCAUGCCGAGGUACGCCUCGCAGUAGUAGGCGAAGAUCGACAAGAGAAGGAUAGAGUUGGGAUGAAGAUGCAGCGCCUGCAGCCCAUAGUGAUGAAGGACCUCGUAAAAGAAGUCAGAGAAGGGGGGAACCAGCCCAGCGGCGAUGCUGCUCAUGAAGAAGGGGAAGAAGGUGCUUCCCUCAGGUUCAGGCACGUCCGAGCUGGCCCAGAGUCCAUUCUUCCCCUUCUCAUUUCUUUCCUCCGCCGUCAGCAAGCACGUGGCGGCGAGGUUCUUCUCCGAAACAUUGGGCGCGUCAAGAGUUGGCUUGUACCAAGCCGGCGACGAGGCGGGCUUGACCCUCCGGGGCGCCAUUGGUCGCUGGUGCGGGAAGGAUGGGAGUAGAUCUGGAGACUUUGGAGGCAGGGUGCAAGAAAGGGGGCAAGGCAAAAGGAAGCAGUGAAGGCAAGCACUAUGUACGCCAAAUUUUUUGACAGGCGGGCAGUUGCCGAGGCAGCAUGGGGAAGCGGAGACGCCCACGUCCAAUCAACCGCCACGCAUCGACCAAGGCCACGGGAUUUUGGGGCCCGCGGCGCUCCGCACUUGCCCCUUGGCUUCGCCUCGAAGCCAAGCCCGAGCGCGCCUUGGGCCCGGGGGCUAAUGUCGGCAUUAUGAGAACGGGGGUCCCCUGACUUGCCUGCCUGCGGCACAUGGCGUGGCUCUGCGAGCGGGACCGUACGGCCCAUCUUCACUAGCAAGGACACAAGACCCUCGUGAGGGGACAAGCCUCGCGAGGUGGACGACACAAGAGCUCCUCAGGAGCGGCCUCACCAGGCUAGCUCGUGAUGGGCGGAGAGAUCAAGGCCAGGCAAACCUCGCGAGGUUCCGCUGACGUGAGCCAUGACAACCAAGGCCUGGCGAACGCGAGCAUGCACAGUGUCCUUGUUUCCGCUUUGGUGCUAAGGAAGCAUGCACAUGCGUAGAGUACCAAGGCAUCAAGCAAAGGUUUCCAUAUCGGUGCAACGAUACCAAGACCAGCAGGACGGCAAGAUGGAGGUCACCAUGGAGCCCAAGACGGCGUCACCACCAGAGCCUUUUGCAGGCGAACACUGCUUUUGUGAGGAUAAGCUGUACUAGUUGUCCCCUUUCGAAUUGGCCGUUGUUAGCUCCCUUGCCGCUCAAUAUUUGGGGAGAGGACCAGGGCCUCUAUAAAUAGGACUAGCCGCCACCAUAGCUACAGAGAGAGAUGGAGGGGGCGGAUCGAGAGUAACCAGAACCACCACAAGUUCACCGAGCACAAGAACACCUCUCCUCAGGAGGCCGUUCUUCCCCUUGUACUUUUCAUCCUCAGCCCGAGAGGCAAUCCACCACACCACACUUGUGUAGGGUAUUACACCACAACGGUGGCCCGAACCAGUAUAAAUCUUGUGUCCUUUGUGUUGCGAGUUCGUCGAGUUAGCCCGUAAGAUCUUAGCUAAGCUAGGACAUGGAUCGGUAGGGGGAGAUCUUCGCACGCACCCCAGAGUUCGAACCUUGAGGGUUUUGCCGGAACCUGUGAUCCGACAGCGCCACCGUCGAUGUCCUCCUCGGGUCCAACGAGAUCCAGGAGGAUCUGCCUUGGACCGCCACGACCCGCGAUCCCGGCGUUCCCCGAUCCAAACAUCACUGCUAGAACCGCACCGCACCAUCCCGGGUCAUCUCCAUCCAGUUUCCUCGGGGUAAGAAAUUCCACUAAGUCCCCAGAUUCCAUAUCAGCAUGUGUGCAUAUUCAUCAUGGCAUAACUCCAUGCAUAUUGCUCCGUUUUGGGUGUAUGAUAUGUCAAAAUGUUCCUCUCAGAGUGCUCUACAUGAUGGUAUAGUUUGCAUGCAUGUUAAUAUUAAUCUUUAUGCCUUAAUCAUUGUGACAAGAGUGCUAUACGAUGUUAACUACUAAAGAUUGUCAUAACUUGUUGUUUGUCUUUUUCACAGCAUUUUGUGUGUUCUUCUUUCGAGCAUCAUGUCAACAUGUUUUAGGAACAUCUUCAUGCCAUCUUUAUAGUGGUGCAAUCCAUGUAUUUUUAAGUGGCUUCUGGUGACUAGCACAAGCUUGCAAAGUGUGCUACUUGAUGUUGCUGAUUUCUGAGACUUAGUGAUUUUUGCAAAGUUUGUAACUUUUAUGUGAUGUUUCCAUCAAUUCCAUGCAUAAUAUGGAGAUGUCUAGUUGACAUGUUUUGAUGUACAUGUUAUGCUCUAUCAUGCCAUGCCUUUUGAUUCCUCACAUAUGUAUUGUACCAUAUGUUUUCAUUGCCAUGAACAUACCUAAAUGAUGUUCCAGUUUUCUGUUAACUUCAUGAUGCCAUGUUGUGAGCUUGUUAUUGAUCAAUCUAUGCCUCUUUUGGAGAUUCUCCAAUUACAUGAUUUGAAGUAUGCUAUGAGUACGUUGUCCACAUGCCCAGUUUGAUAAUUUUGGAGUUUAUAUGACCUCUGCUCCAAGUUUGCAAACAUGCUAUGCUGAUGUUGAUGUUUUACACUUGUUGAAAAUGUUACAACAUUCGAACUCGUCUUGUUGGCUCCCACUAGUCCAUGAGUCAUAUGUAUAUGAUGCCUUGAGGUUAUUUGCUCCUUGUUAUGCGUAAUUUUAUGCCAUGCCCUUGGUUGUUAUAUAACUUUGUGUAGUUUGUCUCUUUCUUGCUCUCAAGUUUACAUCAUGCUAAAUCUGUCAACCUGUAAAUAGCAUGUUCCUUUUUCCACAGUAUGAUCGUUGUUACUUCAUACAUCAUAUGAACUUGUGCCCAUGGAUUAGGUUGAAGUAUAUCAUCUCUACUACAUGCCCAUGUUUUUUGCAUAAUUAUUAAAGUUGCUAUGCUUGCUAUUAUGUGCCUUCAAAGUCAGCAUCAUAAUGUUAUUGUUUUGCAUUCCCAGAUUUCCUAGUCUAAGAAUCAGCUUAUAUCAUGUUGUAUCUUGUCUUGUUGAUUUCCAUUGAUCUAUGG